UGGUGCACUGCCACCUGAGGCGAGAGCCUCAUUUUGCCUCAUUGGCGAAGCACCCCUGUCCACUCUUUCAAUACAUGGAAACCUUGAAGUAUUUGGGUACUAGACAGUGGCAUAACUAGAUGUUACUGGGCCCCACAGCAAAUUAAUUUUAGGACCCCAAGCAUAUCCUGAGGUUGUCCUGUAGGCUGUUCUACCAAUAAAUAUUGAAAUUGCUCAUUAUUCGGGCCCCUUAUACCUACUGGGUCCCCCUGUAACCACAGGGUCUGCUUCCUCUGUAGUUACGCCCCUGGUAGUAGAGAUUUUUACUAGUAAUGUUGAUGUCUGCACCUUUCGAAAGGAGAAAAUUGGCGGAGAAAAAGAAAUGUAAAGUGAGUUGUGAGGACGAGGGUGUAUGUAUGGAGUCUUAUUUGGGUAAUGAAGCUGCCAUUUAUUGCUCUCCCCGUUUGUUUUGAGUCCGAGUGGCUCGUUCAGUCGAUACGCAAUAGUGUGACAGCGCGUGUGAGGAGAGCUGCUUUCCAUCAUGGUGUGUAGGAAGGGGAUGGCGAAUCACAUGGCGCGUUUAGGUAAGAGCAGCAGCAGUAGGUAAUGGCACAAUGUGGCGCCGCGCUUGUUGUGAGAGCAGCCCUUACUACAGAGUGUAUACGCGUGUGUAUAGGGGAGGGCUGAGUGCGGCUUCCCUUGGCGUGCACUUUGUAUGGCUUGUUGCGCUAUUGGCUGUACGAUGAGGGUCGGAAGUCCAUUUUUUUUAUGCUAAUGAAGAAGCUGGGCUUGUAGAUAUUUACGUUCUUGCGGGAGCCGCCCUUCAUUCACCCACAUGGUCUUAUUCAGGCAUCAUUCGCGCCACUUUCCCAAUUGUAAUUUAUUUUCAUUAUGCCCCGCGCAUUCCCCACCCCGACUCUGCUUCUUUGCCUGUUGGUAGUUCUCGGGGGUUCGGCGGAGAUGGGCCGAGGGAGAGGCGAGUUGCUGCUGCUGUUGGUAAGCGGAGUGAAAGAUGGAGGAUUUCCUUUGAUGUCGUCCAUCUCCAAGAUGGCUGGGACCAGCGGUUGUCAAGAGUAAUGUCAAAGUGCUUACAGUGCAGGUAGUGAUUUAACAGAACCUACUGCAGUGAAGGCACUUGUAGCAUUAUGUUGACAGUGUUUGCUAGAGGCUAAUGAAAGUGCGAUGUGUCUCUUUAUUGUGCUUUUUGUCCUAAGGUGCAUCUAGUGCAGAUAGUGAAGUAGAUUAGCAUCUACUGCCCUAAGUGCUCCUUCUGGCAUAAACGGCACUUUAUCACUGAACGUUUUUGUUAUUUGACCUGUUCUUGUUGCUACUUUGUGCAGUCUUCUGUCAGUUUUGCAUAGUUGCACUACAAGAAAAAUGUAGUUGUGCAAAUCUAUGCAAAACUGAUGGCAGCCUGUAUUGGCUGCAGUAGCAAGCUAUUACUCAAAUACUGGUUUUAAAAAUACAAGAUAGGUGUGUUGUAAAUACAAGCACCAAUUUGGCUAAAGUUGUGCUAAAGUGCUUAUAGUGCAGGUAGUUUUUUGUGUAUUCUACUGCAUUAAGAGCACUUAAAGUACUUCUAGCUGCAUAUCUACGCAACCCAUCGUGAAAGCUUACCUUUAAGCGUGGUGCUUCAUGGUUAGUUUUGCAGGUUUGCAUCCAGCUGUUCUCGUGGCUUGCUGUGCAAAUCCAUGCAAAACUGAUUAUGGCACUUAACCAGCGUCUGAUCUUCUGUGGGAUAGUGGGGACUUGCCCCUUUCUGUAUAGGUUGGGAUUGGUUGCAAUGCUGUACUAUUUAUGUAGUAUUGCACUUGUCCCGGCCUGUUUAGGAUGGUUGGGAUUUUCCAAUGGUUUGUGCAUUUGGACUCAUCCCCCCCGCAUGAUCCUGAUAAUUUUUCAAGACUCCAUUCCACAUAACAGGUUGGUUUUAUUCCCCUUUUCUUUGCUAAAAAUUUCACACGCCAGCUGAAGUACUUGUCUAACUUUGUAAUUUAUUGCUUGCUAUUAAUGAAGAUGGAACAACAACAACAAAAAAAUAUUAAAUCCAUAUAAACCUAAA